rnacentral:rRNA from 1 species
AUUGAACGCUGGCGGUAUGCUUUAGACAUGCAAGUCGAACGGUAACGAUAACUAGCUUGCUAGUUAGGCGACGAGUGGCGGACGGGUGAGUACAAAUUAGGAAUCUAUCCAGUAGCUGGGGAUAACGUGUGGAAACGCACGCUAAUACCGAAUACGCACUACGGUGGAAAGAGGGGGAAUCUUCGGAUCCUCUCACUAUUGGGUGAGCCUAAUCCGGAUUAGCUAGUUGGUGGGGUAAUGGCCUACCAAGGCAACGAUCCGUAGCUGUUCUGAGAGGAAGAUCAGCCACACUGGGACUGAGACACGGCCCAGACUCCUACGGGAGGCAGCAGUCGGGAAUAUUGGACAAUGGGGGCAACCCUGAUCCAGCAAUACCGCGUGUGAAGAAGGCCUGCGGGUUGUAAAGCACUUUCAAUAGGGAAGAAAUGCUGAAGGUUAAUAACCUUCGGUCUUGACGUUACCUAUACAAGAAGCACCGGCUAACUCCG